UAUUAAAUCACUGUUGAAAAAUGUAUUUUUUUUUAAAAAUAAUGUGGCUCAAACAAGCCCUAAACAACCAAAGGAGCCAACAUUGGAAUUGCUUUCAUUAUGUUCAACUUAUCACUUCCCACAUUUGAUACUCAUUAAAAUAUCAUAAAAUUUACAAUCUAUAAAUAAGUGGGCCAAGAAUUUGGUAAAAAGCUAUCUAGGCCUUUUAAUUCUAGGGUUAGAAAUUGAAUAAAAUUUUUAUUUUUCUAAUUUUUUCAAUUUUGUAUCGGGUUAUCGGAUAUCCGAUAACACGACGAAUCGGAUAUGGAUUUAACAAUCAAAUAUCCUUUAGAUUAUCAGAUCGGAUCAGGAUAAGAUAAUUUUCUUAACGGAUCGGAUCGAAUUUUGACAGAUCCAAUCCAUUUACAGCCCUACUGCUAGAUCAUGUCCUGGUUGCCCUCUGGCAAAUUGUUGGCGACAGCAAGUUUUGAUGCCACCAUUGCUAUCUGGGACAAUGUUGGUGAUGAUUUUGAAUGCAUUUCGACCUUAGAGGGUCAUGAAAAUGAAGUUAAAAGUGUUUCUUGGAAUGCGUCUGGCUCACUUCUUGCAACUUCUGGACGAGACAAAUCAGUGUGGAUAUGGGAAGUAUUAUCCCAUAAUGAGUUUGACUGCGUUUCAGUGUUGCAAGGACAUACUCAAGAUGUGAAAAUGGUCCAGUGGCAUCCCUUUAUGGAUAUUUUGCUCUCGUGUAGUUACGACAACACUAUGAAGGUAUUGAUAACUAAGGCAAGUCCAACUCUUGUAUGUCUGGGCUGAGGAUGGGGACAGUGAUGAUUGGCAUUGUGUUCAAACUUUAGGUGAAUCCAACAGUGGACUUCAAAAUGGUUUCCUGUAGGUAUGCAGAGCACUCCAUGAUGCUUGCUCACAUUUAAUAUAUAAAUGUCAUUGAUUUUGCAGUGAUGAUCUUACCGUUAAGAUAUGGGGUGCUGCCAUUACAAGGAUGCAGUCGGCAGAUGGAAAUGCACCUUCGUGCGCUGCAUAUCAGCUUAUUCAUUUGAUUCUCCAUCUUUCCAUAUUAUUAGAUGUAUAUUUGGUUUUCUUUCAAAGAUUUACCUUUUAGCAGCUAGAUUCUUGACAACAAAACUUCAGAGUCUUCAAAGAUGAAAUGCUCACAAUCUCGCUAUUCUAUCCACCUGACACAUCUUUGUACUCUCUUUGGUUAUCAUGAUCGCACAAUUUUUUCUGUCCAUUGUUCAAGGUUGAUGAACCUUUUUACAAAUUACUUCUGAAGAUAGAGAAGGCUCAUGACAUGGAUGUAAAUGCUGUACAGUGGUUUUCUGCGGUAAAUAUAUUGAGAGAUAGAGAUACAUAUUACAUGCAUACAAAUUUUGAAAGCAGUCUGCAUAACUGAUUAAUAUCUCUCUUGGGGGGUGGGGCGCGCGGGAUGUGUAAGUGUUAUGCCCUAGAUCCAAUCGAUUUAGAUUGUAAACGCUUUUAAUAUAUUUAAUGCAUUUGAUU